UACGUAGGGGGCAAGCGUUGUCCGGAUUUAUUGGGCGUAAAGAGCGUGUAGGCGGCCAGAUAGGUCCGUUGUGAAAACUCGAGGCUCAACCUCGAGACGCCGAUGGAAACCAUCUGGCUAGAGUCCGGAAGAGGCGAGUGGAAUUCCUGGUGUAGCGGUGAAAUGCGCAGAUAUCAGGAGGAACACCCGUGGCGAAAGCGGCUCUCUGGGACGGUACUGACGCUGAGACGCGAAAGCGUGGGGAGGCGAACAGG
rnacentral:rRNA from 1 species